rnacentral:snRNA from 1 species
UGAUGAUGAUCAGGCUGCAACAGCUGCCACCUUCUUCAUCACAAGGUUUGAUUUGGCUGAUCUGGCUAGCUAGACAGGGGUCCCCAUCCUCACGUACUGCUCCAUGUGAAUCCCUCUUGAAGCUGUGCACUCAGUCAAAAUGAAUAACCUUCCCAAUAGAGAAGGACCGUUCUUCCAUCAAGGGUAGUCAAGUAGCUGCACUCUUCUAGAACCUCCAAAUAAGCUCUCAUGAAUAGGGUUUCAGCUCCCUGCUGCUCCCUGUUCCAGAGACAACAGCAUCUUCU